rnacentral:rRNA from 1 species
AUUUUGGGCAAUGGGCGAAAGCCUGACCCAGCAACGCCGCGUGAAGGAUGAAGUAUUUCGGUAUGUAAACUUCGAAAGAAUAGGAAGAAUAAAUGACGGUACUAUUUAUAAGGUCCGGCUAACUACGUGCCAGCAGCCGCGGUAAUACGUAGGGACCAAGCGUUGUUCGGAUUUACUGGGCGUAAAGGGCGCGUAGGCGGCCUGGCAAGUCACUUGUGAAAUCUCCGAGCUUAACUCGGAACGGUCAAGUGAAACUGCCAUGCUAGAGUGCAGAAGGGGCAAUCGGAAUUCUUGGUGUAGCGGUGAAAUGCGUAGAUAUCAAGAGGAACACCUGAGGUGAAGACGGGUUGCUGGGCUGACACUGACGCUGAGGCGCGAAAGCCAGGGGAGCAAACGGG